rnacentral:rRNA from 1 species
CCGGGGUUUCUUUACCAGGUACUGUCAUUAUCAUCCCUGGCGAAAGAGCUUUACGAUCCUAAGACCUUCAUCACUCACGCGGCAUGGCUAGAUCAGGCUUUCGCCCAUUGUCUAAGAUUCCCCA